GAUGAACGCUGGCGGCGUGCUUAACACAUGCAAGUCGAACGAAGCACUUUAUUUGAUUUCCUUCGGGACUGAUUGUUUUGUGACUGAGUGGCGGACGGGUGAGUAACGCGUGGGUAACCUGCCUCAUACAGGGGGAUAACAGUUGGAAACGACUGCUAAUACCGCAUAAGCGCACAGGGUCGCAUGACCUGGUGUGAAAAACUCCGGUGGUAUGAGAUGGACCCGCGUCUGAUUAGCCAGUUGGUGGGGUAACGGCCUACCAAAGCGACGAUCAGUAGCCGACCUGAGAGGGUGACCGGCCACAUUGGGACUGAGACACGGCCCAAACUCCUACGGGAGGCAGCAGUGGGGAAUAUUGCACAAUGGGGGAAACCCUGAUGCAGCGACGCCGCGUGAGCGAAGAAGUAUUUCGGUAUGUAAAGCUCUAUCAGCAGGGAAGAUAAUGACG
rnacentral:rRNA from 1 species